GAUGAACGCUGGCGGCGUGCCUAAUACAUGCAAGUCGAGCGAACAGACGAGGAGCUUGCUCCUCUGACGUUAGCGGCGGACGGGUGAGUAACACGUGGAUAACCUACCUAUAAGACUGGGAUAACUUCGGGAAACCGGAGCUAAUACCGGAUAAUAUAUUGAACCGCAUGGUUCAAUAGUGAAAGACGGUUUUGCUGUCACUUAUAGAUGGAUCCGCGCCGCAUUAGCUAGUUGGUAAGGUAACGGCUUACCAAGGCGACGAUGCGUAGCCGACCUGAGAGGGUGAUCGGCCACACUGGAACUGAGACACGGUCCAGACCCCUACGGGAGGCAGCAGUAGGGAAUUUUCCGCAAUGGGCGAAAGCCUGACGGAGCAACGCCGCGUGAGUGAUGAAGGUCUUCGGAUCGUAAAACUCUGUUAUUAGGGAAGAACAAAUGUGUAAGUAACUAUGCACGUCUUGACGGUACCUAAUCAGAAAGCCACGGCUAACUACGU
rnacentral:rRNA from 1 species